rnacentral:rRNA from 1 species
AUGAACGCUGGCGGCGUACCUAAUACAUGCAAGUCGAGCGAACAGACGAGGAGCUUGCUCCUCUGACGUUAGCGGCGGACGGGUGAGUAACACGUGGAUAACCUACCUAUAAGACUGGGAUAACUUCGGGAAACCGGAGCUAAUACCGGAUAAUAUAUUGAACCGCAUGGUUCAAUAGUGAAAGACGGUUUUGCUGUCACUUAUAGAUGGAUCCGCGCCGCAUUAGCUAGUUGGUAAGGUAACGGCUUACCAAGGCAACGAUGCGUAGCCGACCUGAGAGGGUGAUCGGCCACACUGGAACUGAGACACGGUCCAGACUCCUACGGGAGGCAGCAGUAGGGAAUCUUCCGCAAUGGGCGAAAGCCUGACGGAGCAACGCCGCGUGAGUGAUGAAGGUCUUCGGAUCGUAAAACUCUGUUAUUAGGGAAGAACAAAUGUGUAAGUAACUAUGCACGUCUUGACGGUACCUAAUCAGAAAGCCACGGCUAACUACGUG